GAUGAACGCUGGCGGCGUGCCUAAUACAUGCAAGUCGAGCGAACAGACGAGGAGCUUGCUCCUCUGACGUUAGCGGCGGACGGGUGAGUAACACGUGGAUAACCUACCUAUAAGACUGGGAUAACUUCGGGAAACCGGAGCUAAUACCGGAUAAUAUAUUGAACCGCAUGGUUCAAUAGUGAAAGACGGUUUUGCUGUCACUUAUAGAUGGAUCCGCGCCGCAUUAGCUAGUUGGUAAGGUAACGGCUUACCAAGGCAACGAUGCGUAGCCGACCUGAGAGGGUGAUCGGCCACACUGGAACUGAGACACGUUCCAGACUCCUACGGGAGGCAGCAGUAGGGAAUCUUCCGCAAAAGGCGAAAUCCUGACGGAGCAACGCCGCGUGAGUGAUGAAGGUCUUCGGAUCGUAAAACUCUGUUAUUAGGGAAGAACAAAUGUGUAAGUAACUAUGCACGUCUUGACGGUACCUAAUCAGAAAGCCACGGCUAACUACGUG
rnacentral:rRNA from 1 species